GCAGAGCCUUCUCGCUCGCUCCGGCUUCAAUCCUCCCCCCUCUCGUAGCUGCCAAUCACGUCCCAAGACCAACCCUUCGGAGCGCCUUGGCAAACUUUCAGCGGCCCCUCACCCCCCUCCCUCACCACCUUGGAGUUCUCGCUCCAAGAGCGUAGUCAGGAGUGACUAAGUGCGCGCGUUUCACAAAGUAACGAGCGUCGCAACUUUCUACACUUUCCGUUGCACCUCAAGGAGAAUAUGCUCCACCGCUUCCCCAGCCUUCUUUGGACUGUUCCUAGGUGCUUUAGAAUUACGUUUUCAAACCGCAAGUCGAGAUCCAGGAGUGGACCCUGAAAUCCAACAUGAAGCUGAAGAAGCCAGAGACUUAUGAACACCAAUAGAAGAGGCAGGGAGGAGAACAGGAGACAAGAGCACAUGGUGGAGCAAGGCCAGGCCCAGAAGGAACUAUAUUCCUCUCCUACCCAUUCACCAGAGAACCAUCAAGCACGAUCUCCUGCGGACCUUAGCUUCCCUUCUGGCUGCAGUUACAGACCAGGCUGUUUUAUCGCUCCCUGGGUUUCCCUUAUCUCUACCACUAUAAAUAAACA